AUGCUCUCUUGCCACAGCCGUCACCAAAUCUAUCAGUUUUGUCAGGGCUUCGAGUUUGCUGAAUGUCCCAAGACAUUCAUUAUUGGCUUCUCUGUGACUUUUGGAGGCCAAAGACCUUGCCGACCGACACGUUGUUGUUUCUACUUCAGACAGCUGAUCUCCGACACGACGCAGUGGAAGAGAAGAGCCAGAAGAUCCCGGGUGGGCAAGCCAACUCAAGCUAGCUCUAGAAUGUCCGUUCCUCAGCAAGCUCCUUGCAGGAGGUUUGCUUCUUCUGUGCUCAUUUUCCACCGACGGAACCCAACUGACAAAGAGCAGAAAGAUCCAGGAGAUUCCGAGUCCCAGAAGGACAGAGUAUGCAUCUGGAAGUUAAGCGCAGAGUUAAGGGCACCCCCUCCAUACCCUGGGCUGGUCUUGCUGGGAAAUCCAAGGCAACAUCAUGAAAACAGAGAGCUGAGAUGCCAAGGUCAAUAUUAUACCCUUUGAGGAUCUAUUUGCGUUGUUAACAUCAAAGGGUAAGGAAAUUUAAAUAUCAGGCUUUACCUCUGGUGUUUUAAAUGAAUGCCUGGAACCUCACAGGAUCCACAAAGGGAGCAGAAGUCCCGCUGCAUGAGCCGGACCCAGAGGGCGCAGACCCGGGGCAAGUCCCAGGUGGCAGGCGUGGGACAGCGGGACCCUCGGCAGGUCAGAGCCUACAGUCCAGAAAACUCCAGUGGUCAGUGGUAGCGCUCCAGCCCCAGAAACCCAACACACGGAGAGAGACCUGGACGCAGAAGGAGAAGCCGGUCAGCCUUGGCCCGGACCUUGGGGCUGAGGCCUGCGCUGGGGACCUCACGGGCCAGGGUGGAGAGAGGGUGGGGGGGGGCUGAGAGAGGGCACCCGGAGAGGAGGGUCUCCCGCUGAGUGUGGGAGCUGCACUUUCUCCCCGGGGCGCUGCACAGCAAGCCGGCAGCCACCCCCUGUCCUAACCCCAGACACGGGGGCACGGCCGCUGUCCCCGCACCGCCCCAGGAACCGCGGUUCUCCACCUGCGGCCCGGGCGACACGCGUGGGAGGCAUUGCUGAUAGCUACGUGACCCCCCAGAGCCCUGCAGUCAGAGUCCCAGGGGUGUUGUGAGCCUCCCUGGCGGCUCCCACGUCCAGCUGGGCCUGCAGGGCUCCGUGACAAGGGCGGUCCUCAAAGCGGGGUCCCUGGACGAGCAGCCGCGCUCGGGGGACAGGGUGGGAACGCAGCUUCUCAGGCCUUGCCCCCCCCCACACUCUGACAUUCCGGGGCGGGGGCCCCGGCAACCGGUUUUAGCCAGUCCUCCAGGUGAUUCUCACACACACUGAAGUUCCAGAACCACUGCAUUUGGGGGGAAACAAGGUCGGCUGGGGGGUCUGGCCCUCCCCGCGCAGAGGGCCCAUCUCUCCGGGAGCAUGGAGGGGACACCGUGGUGACAGCCCCUCGACGGCUGGCAUUUGGUGGCCACCCCAUGUGCCAAGCACUCCACGUGCCUCAUCUCAUUUGAUAAACCUCACAACAUAACUAAGAGGUAGGUGUUAGGAUGCACAUUUUACUUUUUUUGGAAAUGUAUUUGGGUGAAGGAGAGAGAGAGAGAGAGAGAGAGCGCGCACAAGCAGAGGGAGGAACAGAGGGAGAAGACUCCCCACUGAUCAGGGAGCCUGAUGUGGGACUCGAUCAUGACCCCAGCCAAAGGCAGACAACUAACUGACUGAGCCACCCAGGCACCCCCAUUUUAUUUUAUUUUUUAAAAUUUAUCCAUGAGACACACACACACACACACACACACACAGAGGCAGAGACACAGGCAGAGGGAGAAGCAGGCCCCCCAUGGGGAGCCCGAUGCAGGACUUGAUCCCAGGACCUCAGGGUUCAUGCCCUGAGCCCAAGGCUGAUGUUCCACCCCUGAGCCCCCCAGGUGCCCCCUGUUUUACUUUCUCAAGAGGCUGAAUCACCUGGCUGAGGACCCAGCCAGCCAGUGGGGCAGAGGCUGGAGUUCCGAGAGCUCCAAGGGGCCCAGCCCUGCCCUGAGGCAAAGACUAGAUCUUUCCCUGACAACCUGGAAAGACCGCAUGGCCAGUCAGGCUGCGGGCAGAGAGAAAGGAGGCCUGAGGGGCUGGGUGCUCUGGAGCCUGGGUUCCCUGCCUCCUGCACAACCCCGUGGUCCCUAGAGAGCAUUGACACUUGGGGAGGGGGGUCCCGGGGGGGGGUGCUGAGAACCGCUCCCAUGCGCCGAGCCUUUGGGAGACCUCUUCAUCCCAGCCUCGGCUUCCCUGCCAGCCCCCUGCACCCCACAUCCCCUGCGCCCCUCCCCUGCCUUAUGGGGAGCAGGUGUUCCAGGCCCCCAGGGCCUCUGCACUCCCCUUGCAGGCUGCAGGGCCCCGUGGGCCCUCUCAGAUGCUCUCAACACCCCGAUCCAAGAGACACAGAUGAAAGCGGUGCCCUCGAGGCCCCAGGUGGCCUGGGCAGGCUCCUGCCCCUUUCUCCACACGCCACAUGCAGGGUGGGAUUCGAGGGGGGCUGGGAGGAGACGGUAUGAAUCCAUUUUCUCAAGAAACUACUAUCGGCCUCGUAGCAGUGAGGGCCCCCCAGAGGAACAGAGCCAAUAGAUUUUAUAUCAUAAAGGGUGCCGGUCUGAUACCAGGAGCAGAGGGAAAAGGGGAAGAGAAAGGGCGGAGAGGGGUCCAAUUCUGCUGGAAUUCCUGGUUCCAGGAAUCCCCAAGCCCUGCCCUUCUUGUGAUUUUUUUUAUUAAUAAUGAGCGAAUCAAUUCCAGCUUUUUUGGCUUAAUAUGUGUGUGCUUGAUUUUUGUUGCCUGCAUGGAGAGAGGCCUGAGUUCUCCAAGGAGGAAGCGGGAACAGGGCCAGGAGUAGGGUGAGGCACGCAAGCACCCAGGGCCCCAGAUGGAAGGAGGCCUCGCCGUCAGGCUAGGGCAAGUCCACAGCCGGCCUCUCAAGGGAGCGCCUUCUUCCAUUCAGCGCCCUUGGCAUCUCUUGCCCCCGUCUCCCCAGCCCUGGCUACCCAUGGAAGCCUUGACUUUGAACUCACAAAUAUCACCACCCACUGAUUUAUUUGUUGAUUUGCUAAGCAAGCAUUGAUUGGGUGCCUACUGAGUCCCCAGUGCUGUGGAGGGUGCUAGAAGGGGCAACAGAUGAGGGACAGCGCCUUAGGGACAGACAGCCUGGGCAGGAAGACAAAUGUGCCAGAAAUAAUAACUUGAGAGAUGUGUCAUAAAGGGCAGCAUCUGUCCCAGAAGCACCGGGAAGUGGGUGGUGUUGCUGAAAACUGAAGGAGAAAUACAACUUAGAUAAGAGAGAGAGAGAGAGAAGCAAGUGCCCACUGGAGUCGUCCCAGGAAGAGGGGCAGCACAGAGCGCAUGCUCGGCCACUUUCCGUGUCCACUCAAUAAACACUUGUCCAAAGCCUAUUAGGAACCA
rnacentral:lncRNA from 12 species